rnacentral:rRNA from 1 species
UACGUAGGGAGCAAGCGUUGUUCGGAUUUACUGGGCGUAAAGGGCGCGUAGGCGGCGCGGUAAGUCACUUGUGAAAUCUCUGAGCUUAACUCAGAACGGCCAAGUGAUACUGCAGUGCUAGAGUGCAGAAGGGGCAAUCGGAAUUCUUGGUGUAGCGGUGAAAUGCGUAGAUAUCAAGAGGAACACCUGAGGUGAAGACGGUGCUGGCUGACACUGACGCUGAGUGCGCGAAAGCCAGGGAGC